rnacentral:lncRNA from 1 species
AUGUCUAAAUAUUUGUUUCAAAGCAGAGGGAACUCUACAACCCACGAGGCCAUAACCCCCAGCAAUCAUUCUGGCAAUCCACACCCCCAAACUGCUGCAAUAGGCCUCAAGGUCCGGUCUGGUUAUACCCCUUACAGACACUCCCUCUCUCCUGGGCAUCAGGCUCCCUGGUUCAGAUCAUCCAUGACCCAUUUCUCUACACUCAAGGAGUUAUCUGGCCACGUUGGCUCCAGCUCUAAUGGAGUGAGUUGAGCAGUGAUGGACCCAGAGAAGAGUGGAGAAAACAGGUACGUACCCGGUGAGGUUGUAACUACACUGAGAAUAAAGGGCAGUGCUGAUGAUAGGAAAGACUAUAG